UCCGGAUUGAGUUCCAACCAUCCGAUCGCGAUUGCAUGCGAUCUAAACCGUCAGAUCGCGCACAAACACCCCCAAACAGCGCGAUCAAUCCACGUGGCCUCUAUGGACCACCCAACACCCUGCGGUCCACGGUGGACCGCUUAGGGUGCUGGGCUGGGCGCCUAUGCAUGCGCUGGGCCGGCCCGCGCGUGUGCGUCCACCAGGCUCUGCUGCACCGCAGCCGGCCUCCGUCGCUUGGUGCACCGUGCCAUCUGCUCCAAGCUUUUUUUGUGCGUAUCUUCACCGUCUGAACUCUGUUUGGACUAUUUUUAGGCUCGUUGGACUCCGUUCGUCAUUCUGAAUCUUGCUGUGGGCUCAGUAUAAAUCAAAUCUCGAAACAUCUAAUCUCAACACUUUGUUAAGCCGAG
rnacentral:lncRNA from 1 species